AAUAAUAUAUUUUUUUAAUCAACUUAAUGCUUGUCAUAAUAUAAAAUUCCAUCAAGAUCUGAAAUUAUGAUCUUCUAGUUACCUCACAACCAGAUGAGGCUUAUACUGGAAUCAUUUUGAGACACAAAUUGUAGCUUUUUUCUAAUAUCUGAUAUUUUUUGUACAUAAUAAUCUUUGAGACUCUGUUUUGAAUGUAAAUAACCAUUUGCUUUUCUACAAAUAGCUGACAUAAUAUAUAAAUAUUCUCCUAUUUCUUGAUGAAUUUUUUGUUUCUGCAAGAGAAAUAUUUUUUUCACCUCUUGCAGAAGCAAAAAUAGAAAUUAAAAGAAAAUUUAUUGACAUCAAUAUAGUAUAUACUUUAUUCAGGGCACAGACAAGAAAUGUUUUAUUGUUAUAUAGAUUUACAUAUUACCAUUUUCUGUCAGGGAUUUUUAAGAUGACAUGUUGUUUAUAGUCGUAUAUAUUACCUAUGUUAGGUUUCACCUUCAUAGAAAUAUGACACUAACAGGGCUUGUUUUUGCUUAAUGUUAAGUAAAUCUGUAUUUAGCAAAAGUCACCUUUUGUGAUUUUUGUUUUAGCUUGAAACCACUUGAUUUAUUUAAGCAUAAAGAAAGCAUAAUGUAAGUGGAUUAAUAUUACGUAGUUUUUUCCCAUCCAUGAUAAAAACUGCUUUAAAUACUUGUGUCCUUUGUCUUAUUGGUUUGUCAUAAGUUAAGUAGGUCAAGGUCACUUGGUAGUAGGUCAAUGUCUUUUGGUAUUGAAUUAGGUUAAGAUCAGAGGUUGUACAGUUUUUAAGACCCAGUGUAAUCAACAGAGCAGAUAGUCAUACUAUAGCAUGAACCUAGCACUUGUGAAAUUGAAAUAUAUGCACAGCAUAGGGCUUGUUCACAAUCAUGAUUUGGUUUUUAAGCUACUCUAAUUUCUGCAUAAGUUCAGCUUGUAAAUUUGCAAUCGUUUCAUCUACUGUGUUCAAAUCAUAAGUACAUCACAUUAUGUUGUAUUUUCAAGCACUUUAUUAGGACAUACUGAAAUAUGGCCUUGACCUCAAAAUGACAUUGACCUUUCAAGGUCAAAUUUUCAAAGAGUCAAUCAAUUUUGCACAUGGAUUAUGGGUAUAAGUUUUUGUUAUUGUGCAAACAGUUUCUUUAUUCUGUUACAUUGUUUAUAAUUUAUAGAAAGAGUGCCAGAUGCCAUAUUUAUAGAGUGUCAUAUUAAGAUGUAAUAUGCUUCCAACAUAUUUUUUUGUUACUGAUUAAAAAAAAGACACACUUGUAAUGUUUCUUAAACAAUAACAAUCUGACCAUAUCAAAACAGUUGAAGGGUAUAUGUUUCAUUGUGCAUUAUUUUAAUAGACAAGCAUUAACACCACAUGCAGUGCUCUUGUUCCAAGAUUUUUAGGGCAAGUGACUUUUAAUUUAUUUUCUUCCUUUUUUUUAACAGUGAAAUUAACUUUAUUCUUGGAAUUUUGAAAUUCUGUUCACUACAAUUACAUGUAUAUAACUUAUCUUUGGUGAAGGUGAAAUUCAUGUUUUUCAAAUUUUGGUUCAAGGUAGAUAAUACUGGCAUUAGAUUAUUCCCCUUGCUGUAAGGAAUAUUAUACCAAUAUAUGAAGUUAUUCCCCUUGGUUCAAUGUAGAAAAUACUGGUAUAAAAUUAUUCCCCUUGCUUUAAGGAAGAUAUACUACAAAUAUUAAGUAAUUCCCCUUCCCCUCCUCAAGGCAGAUAGUACUGAUAUUCGUUAUUCCCCUUGAUUAAAGGAACAUAUACAAAUAUUCAGCUAUUUCUUUUAAAGAAGAUACAUUUGUAUUAGAUUAAUCCCCUUGAUACAAGUUUGAUAUACAGGUAUUGGGUUAUUCCCCUUGGUUCACCUUAAAGGUACGGGUAUAAGGUUGUUUUCAUUAAAUAUUUAUAAUGAUUUGUCAUUUGAAACUGUGUUAAAUCUGCCAUAGCUAGGUAUUUGAUAACAUUUAUACAUGUAUCAAUAGAAUUUGUAAACACAAAAAGUGUUUUUGAAAAUUUGUUCAGGAAUUAUUGGAUUAUAUUAAAGAAAACAGUAUUGGUUUUAUAUUUUAGAACAUAUGCACACUAGUCAGGACAGGGGUUGUAACUCUUCAGGUCCUUGUAGUGUCUCAGAUUUAUAUUAUAAACAGAUUUACGGAAGUUGUUAAAUUGUUGUUGAAAUUUUUUUUAUUUCUCAAUAAAAGUGGUAGAAAAUAAU